rnacentral:tRNA from 1 species
GAGUGUGCAGCUUUGUGGCCAUAGUUUUGCAAAAACUAAUGAGAAUUAUUUUAUUAUUCCACACUCU